rnacentral:rRNA from 1 species
GACGAACGCUGGCGGCGUGCUUAACACAUGCAAGUCGAACGGAAAGGCCCUGCUUUUGUGGGGUGCUCGAGUGGCGAACGGGUGAGUAACACGUGAGUAACCUGCCCUUGACUUUGGGAUAACUUCAGGAAACUGGGGCUAAUACCGGAUAUGAGCUCCUUCUGCAUGGUGGGGGUUGGAAAGUUUCGGCGGUUGGGGAUGGACUCGCGGCUUAUCAGCUUGUUGGUGGGGUAGUGGCUUACCAAGGCUUUGACGGGUAGCCGGCCUGAGAGGGUGACCGGCCACAUUGGGACUGAGAUACGGCCCAGACUCCUACGGGAGGCAGCAGUGGGGAAUAUUGCACAAUGGGCGGAAGCCUGAUGCAGCAACGCCGCGUGCGGGAUGACGGCCUUCGGGUUGUAAACCGCUUUCGCCUGUGACGAAGAGUGAGUGACGGUAAUGGGUAAAGAAGCACCGGCUAACUACGUG